rnacentral:rRNA from 1 species
ACGUAGGUGGCAAGCGUUGUCCGGAUUUAUUGGGUUUAAAGGGUGCGUAGGCGGUUUUUUAAGUCAGUGGUGAAAUACGGCAGCUUAACUGUCGAGGUGCCAUUGAUACUGGGGAACUUGAGUACUGAUGAGGUAGGCGGAAUGGACGGUGUAGCGGUGAAAUGCUUAGAGAUCGUCCAGAACACCGAUAGCGAAGGCAGCUUACUAAGGAGUAACUGACGCUGAGGCACGAAAGUGUGGGGAUCAAACAGGAUUAGAUACCCUGGUAGUCCACACUGUAAACGAUGAUUACUCGAUGUGUGCGAUACACGGCACGCGUCUUAGCAAAAGCGAUAAGUAAUCCACCUGGGGAGUACGCCGGCAACGGUG